rnacentral:rRNA from 1 species
CAGUCGGCCGCGGUAAUACAGAGGGUGCGAGCGUUAAUCGGAUUUACUGGGCGUAAAGCGUGCGUAGGCGGCUUCUUAAGUCGGAUGUGAAAUCCCUGAGUUUAACUUAGGAAUUGCAUUCGAUACUGGGAAGCUAGAGUAUGGGAGAGGAUGGUAGAAUUCCAGGUGUAGCAGUGAAAUGCGUAGAGAUCGGAAGGAACAUCUGUGGCGAAGGCGACUAUCUGGGCCAACACUGACACUGAGGCACGAAAGCGUGGGGAGCAAACAGGAUUAGAUACCCGAGUAGUCCCUGUCUCUUAUA